AGUGAAACGCUGGCGGCGUGCUUAACACAUGCAAGUCGAACGGAGUUUUAACGGAAGUUUCGGAUGGAAGUUAAGAACUUAGUGGCGGACGGGUGAGUAACGCGCGGGUAACCUAGCCUCAUACAGGGGGAUAACAGUUAGAAAUGACUGCUAACACCGCAUAAUAUAGUGAAACCGCAUGAUUUUUGCUAUCAAAUAUUUAUAGGUAUGGAGAUGGGCCCGCGUCUGAUUAGCUAGUUGGUGGGGUAAAAGCCUACCAAGGCGACGAUCAGUAGCCGGCUUGAGAGAGUGACCGGCCACAUUGGGACUGAGACACGGCCCAAACUCCUACGGGAGGCAGCAGUGGGGAAUAUUGGACAAUGGGGGAAACCCUGAUCCAGCGAACCGCCGCGUGAGUGAAGAAGUAUUUCGGUAUGUAAAGCUCUAUCAGCAGGGAAGAUAAUGACAGUACCUGACUAAGAAGCCCCGGCUAACUACGUGCCAGCCGCUGC
rnacentral:rRNA from 1 species